rnacentral:lncRNA from 1 species
AACGUUCCCAGAAAUGUGGUAUUACUUUAAAGUAAAUCUCCUGGGGAAAAUCAGCAGUGUAGUAUUGCCAGGAUGCCUCCAGGGAAAUGCUGAAGACUAAUGAAAACAGCGGCAAGCACGGGGAAGAGAGAGAGCAGGCCCUGCAGAAUCAAUCUGAAAACCAAUGUUUGAAGAUACAGUUAGGACAGCAAGGCAUUUCCUGUUUUUGCUUCUCACCAAAGCAGCCCUAUGGAAAUGCAGCUUGUGACAGUUGGUCAGAUCGUGUGAUGGACAAGCAGCUUCCUUGGUUAUUUUCUUUUGAAGCAAAUACAGACGGCAGCAGUCCUAUACGGGGAGAUCACAGAUGUGAUCAUAUGUUCUUCUGUUGUUUUUCUGAUGUUAACGGGGUCAGAGAGACAAGAUCAUGGGGAAUAUGAACUUCUUGGUAUUAGCCACAGCAAAUUAAGUUUAAACAGUUUUCACUUUACUACGUGUGCUAUGUAUGAGCUUAAAAAAAAGUUCUAAAAUCUCGUAAAGACAACGCUGAAGCUGAUAAUACAAAAGGCAAAGGAGAGCAAUAAUGACCAUUAAAUGCACCAGAUUAACUGCAGCAGGUGGCGAUGGUGAUACAUGUGAAGAAAUAAUAUUUCAAUCAACUGAUGAUCAUAUGGCAGAUUCAAAGUUAAAAUGAAUAUAAUGUAAUAUACUUCAAUAUAGAGCUGUUAUAUAUAAUGUGUAUGUUCUAGGUUUCAGAAACACUGCAAUGUAGUGUAUUGUACUUAAGUAAGUAUACCUAAAUAGUAACCAUAGUCCUCCACAGAGUCACUAGUACUGUGAAUUAAAACAAUAAAAACAAAAAAA